AUUGAACGCUGGCGGCAUGCUUUACACAUGCAAGUCGAACGGCAGCACGGGAGCGAUCCUGGUGGCGAGUGGCGAACGGGUGAGUAAUGUAUCGGAACAUGCCCAGUCGUGGGGGAUAACGCAGCGAAAGUUGUGCUAAUACCGCAUACGAUCGAUGGAUUAAAGCGGGGGAUCGGCAGACCCCGGGCGGUUGGAGUGGCAGAUAACAGAUUAGGUAGUGGGGGGGGUAAAGGCCCACCAAGCGGACGAUCUGUAGCUGGUCUGAGAGGACGGCCAGCCACACUGGGACUGAGACACGGCCCAGACUCCUACGGGAGGCAGCAGUGGGGAAUUUUGGACAAUGGGCGCAAGCCUGAUCCAGCAAUGCCGCGUGCAGGAUGAAGGCCUUCGGGUUGUAAACUGCUUUUGUAUGGAACGAAAAGACUCUCUCUAAUAAAGGGGGGUUGAUGACGGUACCUUGAGAAUAAGCACCGGCUAACUACGUGCCAGCCGCCGCCGUAA
rnacentral:rRNA from 1 species